CAUACGGUUGUUGAUGAUGAUGAUCAGAUCACAUUUUAUGACCAAUUUGUGCAGAAAUCCAUAUCAUUCCAAAGGGUUCACAUACUUUUUCUUGCAACUGUAUAAAACACUAUUUCAUGUUGUAGCUUAGAAGAAAUAGCAACUGUGGUUGCUCAACUAAGUGAACUUUCGGCUUUAGCCAAAAUACUGGUGUCUCUCACCCAUAGUUGUGCAUAAUGGGGUUAGUCAUAACAAAGUGAAG